UACGUAGGCAGCAAGCGUUGUCCGGAAUUAUUGGGCGUAAAGGGCUCGUAGGCGGUCUGUUGCGUCGGGAGUGAAAACUCAGGGCUUAACCCUGAGCCUGCUUCCGAUACGGGCAGACUAGAGGUAUGCAGGGGAGAACGGAAUUCCUGGUGUAGCGGUGAAAUGCGCAGAUAUCAGGAGGAACACCGGUGGCGAAGGCGGGUCUCUGGGCAACUACUGACGCUGAGGAGCGAAAGCGUGGGGAGCGAACAGG
rnacentral:rRNA from 1 species